rnacentral:rRNA from 1 species
CCUACGGGAGGCAGCAGUGAGGAAUAUUGGUCAAUGGGCGCGAGCCUGAACCAGCCAAGUCGCGUGAGGGAGGACGGCCCUACGGGUUGUAAACCUCUUUUGCCGGGGAGCAAAGGGCGUCACGUGUGGCGCCACUGAGUGUCCCCGGAGAAAAAGCAUCGGCUAACUCCGUACCAGCAGACGCGGUAAUUCGGAGGAUGCGAGCGUUCUCCGGAUUUAGUGGGUUUAAAGGGUGCGUAGGCGGAUCGUUUAGUCAGUGGGCAUAUUGAGGGGCUCAACCCCUUCCCGCCAUUGAUACUGGCGCUCUUGAGUGGAAGAGAAGUAUGCGGAAUGCGUGGUGUAGCGGUGAAAUGCAUAGAUAUCACGCAGAACCCCGAUUGCGAAGGCAGCAUGCGGGCUUCCGACUGACGCUGAAGCACGAAAGCGUGGGGAUCGAACAGGAUUAGAUACCCGGGUAGUC